GACGGAGGAUGCAAGUGUUAUCCGGAAUCACUGGGCGUAAAGCGUCUGUAGGUGGUUUAAAAAGUCCACUGUUAAAGAUUGAAGCUUAACUUCAAAAAUGCCGUGGAAACUUUUAAACUUGAGUAUGAUAGGGGUAGAGGGAAUUUCCAGUGGAGCGGUGAAAUGCGUAGAUAUUGGAAAGACCACCAAUGGCGAAGGCACUCUACUGGGCCAUUACUGACACUGAGAGGCGAAAGCUAGGGGAGCAAAUGGG
rnacentral:rRNA from 1 species